rnacentral:rRNA from 1 species
CCGUCAAAAUCGGGGCGGGGAGCUGCGGUAAGAGUGAGGGUGCGGACGGGUGUGGGAAUUAUGGGGGGUAAAGGGCUGGUAGGCGGGUGGUGACGUCGGGAGUGAAAACUCGGAGCUUAACUCCGAGCCUGCUUCCGAUACGGGCCGACUAGAGGUAUGCAGGGGAGAACGGAAUUCCUGGUGUAGCGGUGAAAUGCGCAGAUAUCAGGAGGAACACCGGUGGCGAAGGCGGUUCUCUGGGCAUUACCUGACGCUGAGGAGCGAAAGUGUGGGGAGCGAACAGGAUUAGAACCCUAGUAUC